GAAGGCUCUGUCCAGCACAAGGCCUACUGCAAACCCAAGGAUCGAGUUGGGAAUUGACCAGACCGAAGUUCACAGGGAGCACAUCCUUCCAUGAUGACCAAUCUGCCCUCUUCCGGCUAAUGCAGUGGAAUUCUCAGGCCAUGCAGCUGGUUUUUUUUGGUGGGGGUGGAAAGAUGAAGAAUGGGAGCUGGAGUAGCUUGGAGAGAUCUCCAGGGUGGGAGCAGAAUGGCUGGUGCAGCAAAGCCUCAGUAAAGUUCUAGUCUAAGCCUAAAGGUUGACUCUGAACUGAUGGAUGCUCUCCUAGAAGAUGACUACCAAUUCACAGAUCAAUAUUCCUGUCUGUAUAUUGAAGCUCCAGUUUGUCCUGAGAAGAGAAUUCCACUCCCAAGCCCGCCUCUUUCACAUGGAGUACCGUAUGCCUCUUUUCCUCCCUUCUCUUCCUGCACACCACCUCCUGUUGCAGCAAUCUCUCCCUCUCUAAAGGAAGCUACAACCUAGCUUCCCACACUGGGCUCGAAUGAUGUGCUACGAAGUACUAACAUUUGCUUUCUGGCUUACUCAAUGCUUUAUAUGCACUUUGUAUUCUAAAUCUCAGAGCAUACCAUAUCCCGUAAGUGUGCUCUGAGAUUUAAAAUACCUUACCAAGAGAUAGGAGACUGUGAGCAUCCAAACACCAGAGCUCAGCACAAGCAGCUGAGCUCUAAUUUCCUUUAAAAGGAGCAGGAAGGGACACUAAAGAUUUUGGGAAAACUGAAAAAGGAUGAAGAAAAGCAAAGACGGUUUGAUGAAAAGAUGAAGGGCAAAUAUACUACUUCUUACCUUCAGAUACAGUUGUUUCUUAUUCUUGCCCAAUAGGAGAAAGUUAUUUUUUGAUC